UAUAUUUUUGGCAUAUUUUAUAUUAUUUUAGCAGUCAGCCUCUGCAGCGCAGUCAAGUUGAAAUUAAUUUUCAAUUAAUAGAAGAAAAAAUACGCAAUUUGAAACAUUUUCAUGAAUAAAUUGAACUAGCCGUAAGCUUAAAUCAGAACAUGUUGAAAAGCAAUUAAAGCCUGACGUUGCCAGGCUUAAAGUGGCCUCCUGCAAAUGUCCUUGAUGUAGCCUAGCAACCAUUGCCCAGCUCAGGUAUGCUGUUUGGCUGGCCAGCUAGAGGGCAGGAUAGGAGACAAAAGUAUGUAGGAGGUCUACAUAGUCAGAUUAACCACAAUCGAAUGCCAACGGCAACCGAUAGGCUUACAAUUAGCUACGCUUACGCACUACAAAUGGCCAUUCAGCAUGCCAUGGUCAACAUGUUGGGCUCUGAUAAGCACCUGUCAUUGAAGUCGACUCUCAGAGUCUGAGAGUUACAGGCAGAGCGCAAACAACAAGACCAGAAGAAGAAAACAAACAAUCCGGAAAGUGUCUAUGAUGGACUGAGUGAUUUAUUAUUAUAUUCGCUCUCGUAGUAUUAUUAUUAUUGUUUGUUUAGCACAUUGAGAAGAGCAUCUGGCUGCCAGCAAUGCAGUGAACGGUGAAUAACUUCCAAAAAAAAAGGACAACCGGGUGCGAUCCGAAGUGACCGUGUGUUGACAGGCAUUGAACUCCAGCUUCCAUUGAUGGCAACAACUUUCUACUCACAUGUCCAAGUUUUUCAUUAACCUGACUCGACCAGAUACGUACGAUAGCAGAAUGUAUGUGUUGGCAGCUGUCUCUGCAAAAGUGUUAACUUGUUUUCUCCGUAAAAGGGGAACAAACCUGCUCACAUUUUUUUUUGUUCACUAUACCCUCAGUUUACAUGGCAAAAAUGGGAUUUAAUAAUGUACGGAAGCUGCUUUCAUUGACAUUAUCUCAAUUUUUAUAUAUACUAUAUAAAACGUUACU